CUAAGAAUAUUCCGCAAUGGACGAAAGUCUGACGGAGCGACGCCGCGUGGAUGACGAAGGCCGAAAGGUUGUAAAGUCCUUUUGCUGGGGAAGAAUAACCAUGGGAGGGAAUGCCCGUGGGAUGACAUGAACCGGCGAAUAAGCCCCGGCUAACUACGUGCCAGCAGCCGCGGUAACACGUAGGGGGCGAGCGUUGUUCGGAAUUACUGGGCGUAAAGGGCAUGUAGGCGGCUCUGUAAGCCUGGCGUGAAAGUCACCGGCUCAACCGGUGGAUUGCGCUGGGAACUGCGGGGCUUGAAUCAUGGAGAGGGAGGUAGAAUUCCAGGUGUAGGGGUGAAAUGUGUAGAGAUCGGGAAGAAUACCAGUGGCGAAGGCGAGCUCCUGGACAAGGAUUGACGCUGAGGUGCGAAAGUGUGGGGAUCAAACA
rnacentral:rRNA from 1 species